GACGUAGGGUCCGAGCGUUGUCCGGAGUUACUGGGCGUAAAGGGCGCGUAGGCGGUUUCUUACGUUCCACGUGAAAGCCCCCGGCUCAACUGGGGAGGGUCACGCGAUACUGCUCGACUUGAAGGCAGGAGAGGGAAGUGGAAUUCCCGGUGUAGUGGUGAAAUGCGUAGAUAUCGGGAGGAACACCAGUGGCGAAGGCGACUUCCUGGCCUGUUCUUGACGCUGAGGCGCGAAAGCUAGGGUAGCAAACGGG
rnacentral:rRNA from 1 species